UGGGGAAUCUUGCACAAUGGGGGAAACCCUGAUGCAGCGACGCCGCGUGAGCGAUGAAGCCCUUCGGGGUGUAAAGCUCUUUCGGCAGGGACGAAAGUGACGGUACCUGCAGAAGCAGCUGCGGCUAACUACGUGCCAGCAGCCGCGGUAAUACGUAGGCAGCGAGCGUUGUUCGGAGUUACUGGGCGUAAAGGGUGUGUAGGUGGAUAUUUAAGUGGGAUGUGAAAUACUCGGGCUUAACCUGGGUGCUGCAUUCCAAACUGGAUAUCUAGAGUGCAGGAGAGGAAAGUAGAAUUCCUAGUGUAGCGGUGAAAUGCGUAGAGAUUAGGAAGAAUACCAGUGGCGAAGGCGACUUUCUGGACUGUAACUGACACUGAGGCUCGAAAGCGUGGGGAGCAAACA
rnacentral:rRNA from 1 species